rnacentral:lncRNA from 1 species
AGCAGGCUGCACUUGUGAAAAUUAAAUUCUAGACAGCUCACACUGGCACUGGGGAGAGGACAAUUUCAGUGAUUUUUGAGUCAUUUGGCUGGUUUAUGUCUCCUGUGUAGAGGUGUAGCUUCACAAAAUGCCUACUGCCUGCAGGAAGAACUCCCUCCGAACAGAUUCUCUACCUGAGCAUCAGGGAAGGAAAUAAAUCUGGAACUGGUGACAUUUCAAGGACAAGGAAAACAACCGCUCGGAGAAUUAUCUGAUUCCGUUGGUGUUUAUUUUUACUUAUAUCUAGCAAUCUGCGCUCCAACAGAAGAUGCUUAUUUGCAGAAAAGAAGGCUGUCUCCUGUCUGGACUGGUGCCUGGUCUGGAGAAAAGAUGGCACUAAGGACAAGAGCAACUUCCAACUGCCUGUACCCAUAAAAUGGUGGAAAAUAAAGGGACUGAAAGCAGCAUGAAGGGACGUAAGGUAGGAGCACAGCUGCAGCUUUUGGCAGAAGUACCAGACGUUGGGGAUGAGAAGGUGCCUUGUUGAACUGUGUCCUAUGUCCAAGUCUUGUUUUAAUUAUCAUGCUACUUGCUGUUCUAUAGGCAUUACUUAUAGGGUCCUGUGAUUCGACAAAGCCAAUCACCUGCAGAAUUAGAAAUAAACUACCAAAAGUCUGACAUUACUGUCUACUCCCUGUAAGCAACCAUUGGGCAAUAUUAUCUAUAAAUAAAAUCUCCCAAAUAUUACUCUGAACCACGUAGCAGCUUGGAAGGCCAAAAAACUGUCUUUCAUUACUUCUUCACACUUUUGAAGGAAUUGGUUUAGCAGUGAUGCAUCCCCUCAUGCUCUGACCAACUUCACACUUCAUUUUUUAUCCAAAUCUAAGUAACAGGCUUUGGGGACCUUGUCUGUAUUGCUUCCUACUCAAGUCUGUUCCCAUCUGCCUGAUCCCCUCAGUGACUUUACAAUACUUCUUUUGUGUCACCAGGACUACUGUUGCCUCCC